rnacentral:hammerhead_ribozyme from 1 species
GUGCGGCCGACGAGUCCCAGAUAGGACGAAAUUCGCAUCCUGCAA